AUUGAACGCUGGCGGCAGGCCUAACACAUGCAAGUCGAGCGGAUGAAGGGAGCUUGCUCCUGGAUUCAGCGGCGGACGGGUGAGUAAUGCCUAGGAAUCUGCCUGGUGGUGGGGGAUAACGUCCGGAAACGGGCGCUAAUACCGCAUACGUCCUGAGGGAGAAAGUGGGGGAUCUUCGGACCUCACGCUAUCAGAUGAGCCUAGGUCGGAUUAGCUAGUUGGUGGGGUAAAGGCCUACCAAGGCGACGAUCCGUAACUGGUCUGAGAGGAUGAUCAGUCACACUGGAACUGAGACACGGUCCAGACUCCUACGGGAGGCAGCAGUGGGGAAUAUUGGACAAUGGGCGAAAGCCUGAUCCAGCCAUGCCGCGUGUGUGAAGAAGGUCUUCGGAUUGUAAAGCACUUUAAGUUGGGAGGAAGGGCAGUAAGUUAAUACCUUGCUGUUUCGACGUUACCAACAGAAUAAGCACCGGCUAACUUCGUG
rnacentral:rRNA from 1 species